rnacentral:rRNA from 1 species
UACGUAGGGGGCGAGCGUUAUCCGGAAUUAUUGGGCGUAAAGGGUGCGUAGGCGGGCUAUUAAGUCAGUGGUGAAAUCCUGCAGCUUAACUGCAGAACUGCCGUUGAUACUGAUAGUCUUGAGUUUGGUUAAGGUAGGCGGAAUGUGUAAUGUAGCGGUGAAAUGCUUAGAUAUUACACAGAACACCAAUUGCGUAGGCAGCUUACUGAGCCGACACUGACGCUGAGGCACGAAAGCGUGGGGAUCAAACAGGAUUAGA